UCGAGCGAACAGACGAGGAGCUUGCUCCUCUGACGUUAGCGGCGGACGGGUGAGUAACACGUGGAUAACCUACCUAUAAGACUGGGAUAACUUCGGGAAACCGGAGCUAAUACCGGAUAAUAUAUUGAACCGCAUGGCUCAAUAGUGAAAGACGGUUUUGCUGUCACUUAUAGAUGGAUCCGCGCCGCAUUAGCUAGUUGGUAAGGUAACGGCUUACCAAGGCGACGAUGCGUAGCCGACCUGAGAGGGUGAUCGGCCACACUGGAACUGAGACACGGUCCAGACUCCUACGGGAGGCAGCAGUAGGGAAUCUUCCGCAAUGGGCGAAAGCCUGACGGAGCAACGCCGCGUGAGUGAUGAAGGUCUUCGGAUCGUAAAACUCUGUUAUUAGGGAAGAACAAAUGUGUAAGUAACUAUGCACGUCUUGACGGUACCUAAUCAGAAAGCCACGGCUAACUACGUGCCAGCAGCCGCGGUAAUACGUAGGUGGCAAGCGUUAUCCGGAAUUAUUGGGCGUAAAGCGCGCGUAGGCGGUUUUUUAAGUCUGAUGUGAAAGCCCACGGCUCAACCGUGGAGGGUCAUUGGAAACUGGAAAACUUGAGUGCUGAAGAGGAAAGUGGAAUUCCAUGUGUAGCGGUGAAAUGCGCAGAGAUAUGGAGGAACACCAGUGGCGAAGGCGACUUUCUGGUCUGUAACUGACGCUGAUGUGCGAAAGCGUGGGGAUCAAACAGGAUUAGAUACCCUGGUAGUCCACGCCGUAAACGAUGAGUGCUAAGUGUUAGGGGGUUUCCGCCCCUUAGUGCU
rnacentral:rRNA from 1 species